rnacentral:rRNA from 1 species
UACGGAAGGCAGCAGGGGGAAUAUUGCACAAUGGGCGCAAGCCUGAUGCAGCCAUGCCGCGUGUAUGAAGAAGGCCUUCGGGUUGUAAAGUACUUUCAGUCGUGAGGAAGGUGUUAAGGUUAAUAACCUUAGCAAUUGACGUUAGCGACAGAAGAAGCACCGGCUAACUCCGUGCCAGCAGCCGCGGUAAUACGGAGGGUGCGAGCGUUAAUCGGAAUUACUGGGCGUAAAGGGCACGCAGGCGGUUAAUUAAGUUGGAUGUGAAAUCCCCGGGCUUAACCUGGGAAUGGCAUUCAAGCUGGUUAGCUAGAGUCUUGUAGAGGGGGUAGAAUUCCAUGUGUAGCGGUGAAAUGCGUAGAGAUGUGGAGGAAUACCGGUGGCGAAGGCGGCCCCUGGACAAAGACUGACGCUCAUGUGCGAAAGCGUGGGGAGCAAACGAGGGAUUAGAUACC